UACGAGGGGGGGCGAGCGUUGUUCGGAAUUAUUGGGCGUAAAGGGUGCGUAGGCGGUUCCGCAAGUCCUGUGUGAAAUCUUCGGGCUCAACUCGAAGUCUGCACGGGAAACUGCGGGGCUUGAGUGUGGGAGAGGUGAGUGGAAUUCCCGGUGUAGCGGUGAAAUGCGUAGAUAUCGGGGAGGAACCACCUGUGGCGAAAGCGGCUCACUGGACCAUAACUGACGCUGAUGCACGAAAGCUGGGGGAGCAAACAGG
rnacentral:rRNA from 1 species